AUUCGGGAUGAUAACUAGGCAGCGAUCUCGAUCUUAACCCACACUACGACGUCUGCCCUUUAAGUUCCCGAGAUAUUGAUGGCAAGAAUUUAUUCUCGGCGGAGAUCUUACACGUUUUCCGGACUUUUCUCUGUGCUUGUUAACGUUUAAAUUUCCGUGACAUUU
rnacentral:snoRNA from 1 species